GACAGUCGAGGCCGUUGCCAACCAUGUUGCAGCGAUCGGAGCAACGACCUCUAGAAACGCUGCUUCAGAUUUCGCAUAGAUUCGCAGCAUCAGGACGCUGGCCACGCACAGAAAAUAUCAGGGGUGAUCGGAACACAAGUGGGAUUGAUCGGUACCACGCCUUUUGGAAUGAUCACUCUCAAAGGCGUCUGUUUUGUCACGUGCAUAACUCUUGCGAAACGUCAUUCACGAUGGUAUAAUUCCUACUGAUUGUCGUUAUAAACAAGGCAGCGGUGAGCUUUAAAGAUACGGGGUUAAUAUUCUUAAGUUUGAAGGCAUUUCGGCGAGUUCGUAGACACGAGUUAAAGAUUUCGUCAACGAAUCUCGUUGUGCAGGAAUCCUGCAAUUCUCGAAGGCUAUUCGAAUCUCAGCAAGUAAAUUGAUUGUGUUUUUGGGAGCAAAUCACAUUACCCCCUGUUGAACAGAACAAAUCUGAAGCUUUGUAGUGGCAAGCUUAUCCUGAAUGACAUCAGUUUUGCCCUACGAUACACUAGGGCUGAGAUUGUACGAGUCUUUUUGCAAUCUGUGUGGAAAGAAUUUCUCUUGAGCUUCUCUUCUAGAUAUUGAAAACUUAGGCAUGAGGUGCUUUAAAUCUAGACUUUCUUGCAUCAAGUCCUUCAAUUAUUGCCACCAAGAAUCCAUUCCAGAUGGGACAAUGGAGAGUGUGAAAUUUAAAAAUCAAUAUUCAUCCAAAUGAGAAAUUUGGUGGAGUUAUUUUAUUUUUA